rnacentral:rRNA from 1 species
CCUACGGGCGGCAGCAGUGGGGAAUAUUGGACAGUGGGCGAAAGCCUGAUCCAGCCAUGCCGCGUGUGUGAAGAAGGCCUUCGGGUUGUAAAGCACUUUCAGUGGGGAAGAAAGCCUUGGGGCUAAUACCCUCGAGGAAGGACAUCACCCACAGAAGAAGCACCGGCUAACUCCGUGCCAGCAGCCGCGGUAAUACGGAGGGUGCGAGCGUUAAUCGGAAUUACUGGGCGUAAAGCGCGCGUAGGCGGUCUGAUAAGCCGGUUGUGAAAGCCCCGGGCUCAACCUGGGAACGGCAUCCGGAACUGUCAGGCUAGAGUGCAGGAGAGGAAGGUAGAAUUCCCGGUGUAGCGGUGAAAUGCGUAGAGAUCGGGAGGAAUACCAGUGGCGAAGGCGGCCUUCUGGACUGACACUGACGCUGAGGUGCGAAAGCGUGGGUAGCAAACAGGAUUAGAUACCCUUGUAGUC